CACAUCUGGACAUCACUCAACUCUGUCACACAUGUGCAGAUCAGGGCCUACCUUUAUCGUACAUAGUGCUGAUUUCUGCUGCUGCUGGAGCUCUGUUGAUUGUAGCUGCAGUCAUGUGGUACUGCUUCUGCUGGAAACGUAGAAAAAGAGUCAUAAUCAACGAGAUAUACGAAAAUGAUUCAACACUGCCUAAACCAAAACCACGAAAAACGAAAUCAAAGGAGCCUGUUUAUGGAAAUACUGGCAGAAAUAAUCAGCAAUGAUCAAAUAUAUUUUAGAGCUCAUACGGACCCCCGACUCACACAUUUUAGUUCACAUCUAAUCUCUGCCAGGAUGUUUUUUCCGUCUAUCUCUGUUUUGUUUACAUUAAGAUUUCAUCUGUUUUUUACUCUCUCUUCAUGUCUGAAAUGUUGUUGCUCUGUUUUAGUUUAAUUGUGUGGUUAUCAUAGCAUCAGAAACUCAUGUAAAUGUUCUAUUUUUUAGCUAAUCGCAUGGAAAUGUAUAACUAUUAAAAUUGGUCUCACCCUU